rnacentral:rRNA from 1 species
AAGCGAAUAAGGGCAAAUGGAGGAUGCCUGGGCAGCGCGUGCCGAAGAAGGACGUGGUACACUGCGAAAAGCGUCGGUGAGGGGUGUGCACCCGCAUGAGCCGACGAUGUCCGAAUGGGGAAACCCGCGUUGGGGCAUGCCAACGCAUUGCCUGCUGAAUCCAUAGGCAGGUGAGGGGCACCCGGGGAACUGAAACAUCUUAGUACCCGGAGGAAAAGAAAGGAUUCUGCGAGUAGUGGCGAGCGAAAGCGGAAGAGCCCAAACCGGAGCAAUCCGGGGUUGAAGGCCGUGCGAACGGGACUGGGAAGGUUAAUUGAAGCGGUCUGGAAAGCCGCGCCGCAGACGGUGAAAGCCCGGUAGAUGAAAACCCAAGCAGCCUAGCACUGAGCCUGAGUACGACGGAGCACGCUAAUUCCGUCGGAAGCAGGGGAGUCCACUCUCCAAGGCUAAAUACCCGCGCUGACCGAUAGUGAACAAGUACAGUGAUGGAACGGUGAAAAGAACCCCGGUGAGGGGAGUGAAAGAGAACCUGAAACCGUUUGCCUACAAGCAGUCAGAGCACUAUAAGUGUGAUGGCGUGCCUUUUGGAGAAUGAGCCACCGAGUUCAUCCAUGUCGCAAGCUUAAGGGAGAUUCACCCGGAGGCGAAGCGAAAGCGAGUUUGAAAGGGCGCUAAGUGGCAUGGAUGAGACACGAAACCAGGUGAGCUACCCAUGGGCAGCGUGAAGCGGAGUUAACCCUUCGUGGAGGCGCGAACCAGUAACUAUUGCAAAAGUUUUGGAUGACCUGUGGGUAGGGGUGAAAUGUCAAACGAACUUGGAGAUAGCUUGUUCUCCCCGAAAUAGCUUUAGGGCUAGCGUCGUGGCAGGACUGGGGGAGGUAGAGCACUGAUUGAGCUAGGGGCCGCAAGGUUACCAAACUCAUUCAAACUCCAAAUGCCUCCAGUUAACGCGCGGCAGUUGGACGGCGGGAGAUGAGUUUCGUCGUCGAAAGGGAAAGAACCCAGCCCCCCAGUUAAGGUCCCCAAGACCGUGCUAAGUGGCAAACGAGGUGGGUGUGUGUAGACAGCCAGGAGGUUGGCUUAGAAGCAGCCACCCUUUAAAGAGUGCGUAAUAGCUCACUGGUCAAACGCAUCUGCGCGGAUAAUGUAACGGGGCUCAAGCACGGCACCGAAACUAGGGAUACAGCAAUGUAUAGUAGGGGAGCGUCGUGAGCGCGUUGAAGGCCGACCGGAAGGCGGGAUGGAGUGCUCACGAGUGAGAAUGGUGGCAUGAGUAGCGAGAAACGUGUGAGAACCACGUUCGUCGAACGUCUAAGGGUUCCGACGGAAGGUCAGUCCGCGUCGGGUUAGUCGGGCCUUAGCCGAGGCUGAGAAGCGUAGGUGAUGGACAACGGGUGAAUAGUCCCGUACCGGCAGGUGGAGUAUGUGAGGGACGGGUGAGGAUAACGCAGCCUCCGGUUGGAAGAGGAGGUGGCAAGCGGUGAGAGCCGUGAUGCCGGUGCCUACGGGCCGCAAGUGCGCGAGUCCCUGCCUCAAGAAAAGCUCAACAGCGAAGAAACCUGCCGCCCGUACCGCAAACCGACACAGGUAGACGGGUAGAAGAUACCAAGGCGAACGAGCGACACCUUGUUAAGGAAUUAGGCAAAAUAGCCCCGUAACUUCGGGAGAAGGGGCGCCACAGUGAUGUGGCCGCAGUGAAAGGGUUCUGGCGACUGUUUAACAAAAACACAGGUCUCUGCGAAGGUGCAAACCGACGUAUAGGGGCUGACACCUGCCCAGUGCCGGAAGGUUAAGAGGAGAGGUUAGUGCGUAAGCGCGAAGCUUUGAAUUGAAGCCCCGGUGAACGGCGGCGGUAACUAUAACCGUCCUAAGGUAGCGAAAUUCCUUGUCGGGUAAGUUCCGACCCGCACGAAUGGUGUAACGAUCAGAACACUGUCUCAACAAGGUCCUCGGCGAAAUUGAAGGGCGCGUGAAGAUACGCGCAACCCGCAGCUGGACAAAAAGACCCCGUGGAGCUUGACUGUAGCUUGCUAUUGCGUUAGGGCGAGAUUUGUGUAGGAUAGCUGGGAGGCAGAGAACCUAGGGCGCCAGCCUUGGGGGAGCCGCCGGUGAAAUACCAGCCUGAUUUCGCUUUGGCCCUAACCUGUUGCCCUGAAGCGGGCAUGGGGACAGUGGCAGGUGGGCAGUUUGACUGGGGCGGUCGCCUCCUAAAAGGUAGCGGAGGCGCCCAAAGGUUGGCUCAGGUGGAAUGGAAACCCACCAAGGCGUGUAAUGGCACAAGCCAGCUUGACUGCGAGGCCUACAAGCCGAGCAGAGACGAAAGUCGGGCAUAGUGAUCCCACGGUACUGAGUGGAAGGGCCGUGGCUUACCGGAUAAAAGCUACCCCGGGGAUAACAGGCUAGUCUAGUCCAAGAGUUCACAUCGACGACUAGGCUCGGCACCUCGAUGUCGGCUCGUCGCAUCCUGGGGCUGGAUCAGGUCCCAAGGGUUGGGCUGUUCGCCCAUUAAAGCGGUACGUGAGCUGGGUUCAGACCGUCGUGAGACAGGUCGGUCUCUAUCCACUGUGGGCGUAAGAAGGUUGAGGGGAGCUGCCCCUAGUACGAGAGGACCGGGGUGGACGCAGCGAUGGUGUGCCGGUUGUCGCGCCAGCGGCAGCGCCGGGUAGCUAACUGCGGAGGUGAGAACCGCUGAAAGCAUCUAAGUGGGAAACGCACCUCAAGAUGAGCCUUCUGAUCUGGAAAACAGAGUAAGACCGCUGGGAGACGACCAGUUGGAUAGGGCGGCGGUGGAAGUGGGGUAACCCACGUAGCCAACCGCUACUAAAGGUCGAGGGCUUCA